rnacentral:rRNA from 1 species
AUACGUAGGGGGCGAGCGUUGUCCGGAAUUACUGGGUGUAAAGGGCGUGUAGGCGGGGAUGCAAGUUAUCGGUUAAAACCCGGGGCUCAACCUCGGGCUUGCCGGUAAAACUGUAUCUCUUGAGUAUAGGAGAGGGAAGUGGAAUUCCCGGAGUAGCGGUGAAAUGCGUAGAUACCGGGAGGAACACCAGUGGCGAAGGCGGCUUCCUGGCCUAUUACUGACGCUGAGGCGCGAAAGCUAGGGUAGCGAACGGGAUUAGAUACCCCGGUAGUCCUAGCCGUAAACGAUGGUUACUAGGUGUGGGUGGUGGUCAAGCCAUCCGUGCCGGAGCUAACGCAAUAAGUAACCCACCUGGGGAGUACGGCCGCAAGGUUGAA